rnacentral:lncRNA from 1 species
GAAAGUAUAUUCAUCAAGGUUCGAUUACAUAAUUUAUUCACUAUUUAAUUCCACUCCUACGAAUUCUUGUGAUUUUUCCAAUCCACACCACUGCUGCUGUCAGCCUCUGUUUUCUGAGUAAACCUUACCUAUUUUCGGGGUUUCAUGGACCAACUAGGGCCUUGUCAUACAUAUGCCCACAUAUGAUCAUACUUAGCCAUUCCAAUGGCUGAUCAUUUGCUCAAAACUUCCAUUCCAACUAUAGUUACAUCAUGAAACCAUCUAUACAUUCAUAAACACGAAUGGUCUAAU